GACACGACUCUCGGCAAUGG
rnacentral:rRNA from 1 species